CAGUCGCCGCGGGAAUACGAAGGGGGCUAGCGUUGUUCGGAAUUACUGGGCGUAAAGCGCACGUAGGCGGAUAUUUAAGUCAGGGGUGAAAUCCCAGAGCUCAACUCUGGAACUGCCUUUGAUACUGGGUAUCUUGAGUAUGGAAGAGGUGAGUGGAAUUCCGAGUGUAGAGGUGAAAUUCGUAGAUAUUCGGAGGAACACCAGUGGCGAAGGCGGCUCACUGGUCCAUUACUGACGCUGAGGUGCGAAAGCGUGGGGAGCAAACAGGAUUAGAUACCCGAGUAGUCCCUGUCUCUUAUAC
rnacentral:rRNA from 1 species